AUAAAGCAGCUGCACAGUCAACUCAUUUCCAGGGUAUGCGUGAGAGCCAAAAGUAGAACUGGGUUCAAAAAAGAAUUAGCUAAGUUCACGGAGGAUAGGUCCAUCAAUGGCUAUUAGCCAAGAUGGUCAGGGAUGCAACCCCAUGCUCUGG